rnacentral:rRNA from 1 species
UAACCAACUUAAUUAUGUCAACAACAACCAAAAAUCAAAACUUUCAACAACGGAUCUCUUGGUUCUCGCAUCGAUGAAGAACGCAGCGAAAUGCGAUAAGUAAUAUGAAUUGCAGAUUUUCGUGAAUCAUCGAAUCUUUGAACGCACAUUGCACCUUGUGGUAUUCCACAAGGUAUGCCUGUUUGAGCGUCAUUUCUCCCUCAACCCCCGCGGGUUGGCGUUGAAUGGCACGAGCUCUUAGUCAGUCCAUUCGAAAAGUAUUUUUCUUGAGUUGUUAUUUUCUAAUUUAGUAGUGACAACUACACUAAAAACACAUUUUCCUCAAAUCAGGUAGGACUACCCGCUGAACUU